AUUGAACGCUGGCGGCAGGCCUAACACAUGCAAGUCGAACGAGUGGCGGACGGGUGAGUAAUGUAUGGGGAUCUGCCUGAUGGCGGGGGAUAACUACUGGAAACGGUAGCUAAUACCGCAUACCAUCAGAUGAACCCAUAUGGGAUUAGCUUGUAGGUGAGGUAACGGCUCACCUAGGCGACGAUCCCUAGCUGGUCUGAGAGGAUGAUCAGCCUCACUGGGACGGAGACACGGCCCAGACUCCUACGGGAGGCAGCAGUUGGGAAUAUUGCACAAUGGGCGCAAGCCUGAUGCAGCCAUGCCGCGUGUAUGGAGAAGGCCUUCGGGUUGUAAAGUACUUUCAGUCGGGAGGCGUUCACUACCCAAGAAGCACCGGCUAACUCCGUGCCAGCAGCCGCGGUAAUAC
rnacentral:rRNA from 1 species